CAUUCGCACGCAUCCAAACUGCAUCACCGUGAACCAAUUGUGUGAGUUUGUGGGUGGGGGCAGAGAUCGUAUCGAAACCCCCAUGCAGGAACUCGAGGGCGGCGGGCCAGGGAGGGCGUCUUUGAGCGCACUUGUGCGACUCUCUGGCGUGGCUCCCUGCGCUCGUCGCCGCUGCUUACCUGUCUCAGGAUCUUGUUCCUACAUUUGUUCCCAAGUGGGCUUCCACUUUAUUUUACUUACAACUUUCAGCGACGGAUGUCUCGGCUCGAACAACGAUGAAGGGCGCAGCGAAGUGUGAUAAGCAUUGUGAAUUGCAGAAUUCCGUGAACCAAUAGGGAUUUGAACGUACACUGCGCUUUCGGGAUAUCCCUGAAAGCAUGCCUGCUUCAGUGUCUACUCCAUCUAAUGCCAGCCUCUAAAUCCUCCUUGCGAGGGUUGGUGGCCUGCGCGUGUCUGUGUGUUAGGGCGUGGGUUUCCCACCCCUGACGCAUUCAAUGCAUGGGGAGUCUUCACAUCGCACAACUUGCAAAGCAUCUUUGGUGCCUUCUGUUGCCGUGAAUGUGGAGAGAACCCUUCCUUCCAUAGUCACUUGUGACUUCUUCCAAGACAUGAAGUUAGGUCAGCAAACCCGCUGAAUUUAA
rnacentral:rRNA from 1 species